GAGGGUAUAGCUCAAUGGUAGAGUGCAUGCCUAACAUACAUAAGGUCCUGGGUUCAAUCCCCAGCAUCUCCA
rfam:Camelus ferus unplaced genomic scaffold scaffold1913, whole genome shotgun sequence.